AGAUACCGGUGGACGAUUCCAGGAUAAUAGCAAAGGGUGGAAGGGCAAAGUUAGGAUGAAAACCCUAUCGAUUUCUGCAAUCUUGGACUCAGAGAAAAGUGUUCAUAAACUGAGGAUUGAUUCUCUGUAGUGACCACUAUUGUAACAGGGAUCAUUGAACGCAUUUUCUCUGUGUUGGGCAUUGUACUUGUUUGUGCUUUCUUGUUUAAUACAGAAUAGGUCUCAUGAAAGCCAGCCACAGUCCCCCAGCGGGCAGGAGAGAGAAAGCUUCGGACUGAGAUCUGAAGGCCUGGCGUGGGGAAGGCCUCUGUCGUCGAGUGCGAGUAAUACGUGAAAAGGACAACAAGACCUUCCAUUCUGUUCGGAAAGGGAUCAUCUCCAAGGGGACCCACAAACACCGCAUAGGCUCUGUAUUUGAUGCAACCUCCUCCCUGACAUCAGGACCAUCUCCACCUUUACCCCCAGUCUUUGCCACAGCCAAUUCCUGGAGAUCAAUUUCCAUGUCAGAAUCUUUUUUAAAAAAUGAUGUAUGGCAAAACCAAUACAA
rnacentral:lncRNA from 1 species